CGGCUCCCCGACCUCCCUACGCAAUCGCACCCCCCGGGUCCCCGUCGCCUCGGCCUCCCGCCGCUCGGGCCCUCCUCUCCUCCCCUGCGGCCUGCCGGAUUUCUAAUUCCUGCGCACCCCUCCCCCCCCCCAACCCUGCCAAAUUAAAUCCUCCGGCAGAAAGCAGGGCAUCCCCCCGGAAGCGGCGGCGUCUCCCUUUACCUUGCUCUUCUUCUCUUUCCGAAGAUGCUAAACUACUGGCGGACUGCAGAGGAGAGGGGUCCCGUCUUCUCCUGAUGUGUUUGCCUGUAGGUACCUGAACUGACACCGACGGUGCCUAAAGAUGCUGAGCGGCGUUUGGUUCCUCAGUGUGUUAACCGUGGCCGGGAUCUUACAGACGGAGAGCCGCAAAACUGCCAAAGACAUUUGCAAGAUCCGCUGCCUGUGCGAAGAGAAGGAAAACGUCCUGAAUAUUAACUGCGAAAACAAAGGAUUUACAACCGUCAGCCUGCUCCAGCCCCCCCAGUAUCGAAUCUACCAGCUUUUCCUCAAUGGAAACCUCCUGACGAGACUGUACCCUAACGAGUUCGUCAAUUACUCCAACGCCGUGACUCUCCACCUGGGCAACAACGGGCUGCAGGAGAUCCGAACCGGGGCGUUCAGCGGCCUGAAAACCCUCAAGAGACUGCACCUCAACAACAACAAGCUCGAGGUGCUGAGGGAAGAUACCUUCCUGGGCCUGGAGAACCUCGAGUACCUCCAGGCCGACUACAAUUACAUCAGUGCCAUCGAGGCAGGGGCCUUCAGCAAACUCAAUAAGCUCAAGGUGCUCAUCCUGAAUGACAACCUUCUGCUGUCCCUGCCCAGCAAUGUGUUCCGCUUCGUCCUGCUGACCCACUUAGACCUGAGAGGGAACAGGCUGAAGGUGAUGCCUUUCGCCGGCGUCCUUGAGCACAUCGGCGGGAUCAUGGAGAUCCAGCUGGAGGAGAACCCGUGGAACUGCACUUGUGACUUGCUUCCUCUCAAGGCUUGGCUGGACACCAUAACCGUGUUCGUCGGGGAGAUCGUCUGUGAGACUCCCUUCCGGCUGCACGGGAAAGACGUGACCCAGCUGACCAGGCAAGAUCUCUGUCCCAGAAAAAGCACCGGCGACUCCGGCCAGAGGGGCGGCCAUGCCGACACGCACGUCCAAAGGCUGUCGCCCACCAUGAAUCCCGCUCUCAACCCAACCAGGGCGCCCAAAGCCAGCCGACCCCCCAAAAUGCGAAAUCGCCCGACUCCCCGGGUCACCGUGUCAAAGGACAGGCAGAGCUUCGGACCCAUCAUGGUGUACCAGACCAAGUCCCCCGUGCCUCUCACCUGCCCCAGCAGCUGCGUCUGUACCUCUCAGAGCUCGGACAACGGUCUCAACGUAAAUUGCCAAGAAAGGAAGUUCACGAACAUCUCCGACCUGCAGCCCAAACCUACCAGUCCAAAGAAGCUCUACCUGACAGGGAACUAUCUUCAAACUGUCUACAAGAACGACCUCCUAGAAUACAGUUCUUUGGACUUGUUGCAUUUAGGGAACAACAGGAUCGCGGUCAUCCAGGAAGGUGCCUUCACAAACCUGACCAGUUUACGCAGACUUUACCUGAAUGGCAACUACCUGGAAGUGCUGUACCCUUCGAUGUUUGACGGACUGCACAGCUUGCAGUAUCUCUAUUUAGAGUACAACGUCAUCAAGGAGAUUAAGCCACUGACCUUUGAUGCUUUGAUUAACCUCCAGCUGCUGUUUCUGAAUAACAACCUGCUGCGCUCCCUACCCAACAACAUAUUUGGGGGAACGGCCCUCACCAGGCUGAAUCUGAGAAACAACCAUUUUUCUCACCUGCCUGUGAAAGGGGUUCUGGAUCAGCUUCCGGCCUUUAUCCAGAUAGAUCUGCAAGAGAACCCAUGGGACUGCACCUGUGACAUCAUGGGGCUAAAGGACUGGACGGAACAUGCCAAUUCCCCCGUCAUCAUCAACGAGGUGACCUGCGAAUCUCCCGCAAAGCACGCGGGGGAGAUCCUGAAGUUUCUGGGGAGGGACGCUAUCUGUCCCGACAGCCCCAACUUGUCAGACGGAACCGUUUUAUCCAUGAAUCACAACACAGACACUCCUCGGUCGCUUAGUGUGUCUCCCAGUUCCUACCCAGAGCUCCACACUGAAGUGCCACUUUCUGUCCUGAUUUUAGGGUUGCUUGUUGUCUUUAUCCUAUCUGUCUGUUUUGGGGCCGGCUUAUUCGUCUUUGUCCUGAAACGCAGAAAGGGGGUGCCGAGUGUGCCGAGGAGUUCCAACAACCUAGACGUCAGCUCCUUCCAGCUGCAGUAUGGGUCUUACAAUACCGAGGCUCAGGACAAAACAGACGGCCACGUCUACAACUACAUCCCCCCGCCCGUGGGGCAGAUGUGCCAGAACCCCAUCUACAUGCAGAAGGAAGGAGACCCGGUAGCCUAUUACCGAAACCUGCAAGACUUCAGCUAUGGCAACCUGGAGGAGAAGAAAGAAGAGCCCGCCCCGCUGGCGUACACGAUAAGUGCCACCGAGUUGCUCGAGAAGCAGGCCACGCCGAGGGAGCCCGAGCUGCUGUAUCAGAACAUCGCUGAGCGAGUCAAGGAACUUCCCAGUGCAGGACUGGUCCACUAUAACUUUUGUACCUUACCGAAAAGGCAGUUCGCCCCUUCGUAUGAAUCUCGACGCCAAAACCAGGACAGAAUCAAUAAAACCGUUUUAUACGGAACUCCCAGGAAAUGCUUUGUGGGGCAGUCAAAGCCCGACCACCCUUUACUGCGAGCUAAGCCGCAAUCAGAGCCAGACUACCUCGAAGUUCUGGAGAAACAAACUGCAAUCAGUCAGCUGUGAACGGAAACCAUUUACAACCCUCCCGCUUCCAAGGACGCUGCUCCAGACUGUUGGAGACACCGCGUUUGCUUUUCUGGAUUUUGCUAUUUCACUUAUAGUUCCUAUGCAACCUGUAAUGGGUAUGAGCAUCGGCACAGCGAAAUGGUUGCAGCCAACGGAGUGUGAUCUCCCCCGGCCCUGCCUGGAACAGAUCUAUGUGUCUGGCCCUCCAAAAUGGCAAAUGGUAAUUUCCUUCGAUUCUAGCUCUUAAUGAAUUGCCUUCACUGUUUCUGAAUAUACCUGUGGCUACGUUUGUAUUGCAACACUCAAAAGUACUAUUUCUGGGUCUGGACACCAUGGCCAACAGCUUGAUUUGGUUUUGGACUUUGGUCAAUCUGUGUGCUUUUUUAGUUCCCUCUAGCAGUUGGUGAGUAAGGAAACGCUCUUCAAUUUUCUCUGCUUUGCCCUCUGACCUCUAAGGUGAUUUAAUUUUUCUAAAUCUGUCUAUGUCAUCAAGGGCUCCAUAUUUUAGUGGAUUCUACCAAAAACAAAACAAAAAAUGUAUAGGGAACAACAGAGGUUCUGUGAUUUUUUUCAGAUUCUGGAAAUUCAUUUUGAUUGUACAUAUUCCAGAAACAUAUUGGAUUGGAUGCUAGAGUGAAGAAAGCUUUCCAGACGUUUCUCCCAAUCCAAUGAUUUCUUCAUUCCUUCAUUCAUUCAAUAAAUAUUUAUUGAGAGCUUGCUUCCUAGGUGCCAGGCUCUAUGAUGUGUGCCGAGGGGGGAUAGAAAUAGAGUAGACAGGAUCUCUGCCCCCCCCCCCCCAACACCCUCCCUCCAGGGAGCUUACAGCUAAUAAAAGAGAAUCUUAUUUGAAUGAAAAUCACCCCGGGUCAACAAUGGGAAAAGUAAUGAAAUGCAGGAAGUUGCAUUUUUAAAGGUGAUUCUGUGCAAUGAAGUAUAAGAAUGAGACAUCAUAAAUAGACUAGCUACAGUGUAACCACCAUUAACAUCUCUUUAAAAUUACACAGCUAAAAAGGGGGGAAAUCCACAAAAAUAAGACAAACUUCUGCAGGAUAGGGCCCAACAUUGUGGCCUCUGGAUAGCUAUGUACUUGGGCUAUCUAAAGAUCUAUGCUAUAAAGUUGAGUCCCAAAACUGUUUUAGAGGCAGUAUUUGCUCCAUAUUUCAGUAGCUCAAAAGGUAACACUUCGGCUUAAGUGUCCUUUUCCAGUACAGUGAUAUGACACUUACCUAGAUCCUGAGAGAGAAAAUUCAGUACUGUAUAUAGGCGUUACUUUGCUUCUCACGAUGGUUGUGCAAAAAGUCACAUGUAAACUGAAGUUCUGUGAAUCAAAUUGUAUUUUCAGUGCAUCAGGGGAACUGCCACUUAGACAAAACUUGUGAAUACUUUCAUAAAGCAGAAGACCAUCUUAGAAUACAAGUCAUCCCUCUACUUUAUUGGUUUUGUAUGUUUGGAUUUUCAAUCUUGACUUUGCUUAAAGCAGAGCCCACCUGCAGAAUAAGAGUGUGUUCCGCCAGUGCUGCUUGUGCUGCGGGUCUCUUGGUUGCUAAGGGCUUGUACCUGAAACUCUGGGGCUGUUUUGUGUGAAUUGAGCUAUCGGGCGAUUCCAUGAUGGCACAGUAGCAUUCCUGUACAGUUAGAGCAGCCAACCUGUUUCAACCCGUUUCAACCCAAUUGAACACAGGACUCUCGCCAGCAGAAUCGCCUCUCUCAGAUGUGGCCGUGUUUUCGUAGAGGGUAGAGUGACUCCUGUAUUCACAUCCUAUAAAGAGCUUAGAGUCACACACUUUACAAUAAAUAUGUUACUUUGUAAAUAUCUUGAACUGCAUGCCUAUUGGAAAUUUUUAGCAGUUUUAGCUUGAAAGUACUUAUACAAAUACUGUUAGAGUUAGAUGCAAAUAACUGUUGUCAAGUUAUU